AAAUAUCAAAUUCAAAGAAUAUGCUUUCCCGGGUUUCUACAACGAGGCAUGAGCUUAGUGGUUCGGGAAAUUUUGCAUUCUAUUCUCAUACUUUGCUCGAACCUUUAGUUCCUUCUUUAGCGCGAUCAAUGAUGUUCACUCUUGGUAUAUGCAUGCACAUGCUGUUACCCUUUGAGGAUUGUGAAAUAAAUUUACAGGAUAAUCCUUCGAAUGGUCUCGAAAAUAUUAUACAAUGACUGUAAAACUGACUGUAAGUCCUCUGUUCUGCUUCAGUUGCUUGAAAUCUGUGAUCAAUUCUGAAGUUUAAAUCAUGUAUUUUGACAGAAAACAAUAAACAAAACAUUAAGUUCCGGUUUCUUUGAAUCUUUUAGCUUCCUUCAAUAGAGGUUUACAAUUAUGAUUACAAUUAUGUUGUUUUCUGACAUUUUUCACUUUGCGGUUUAUUUUCUGCAAAUUUGAGUCUAUGUUCUGAAGAGUGGACUGAUAUGAAAAGUCGGUGAUCUUUUUCAAGGUAUAGUUGUCUUCUUUGGUAUUUCACAAUGUUGCAACAAAUUACGGAGUAUAAAAACUUAAGAGAUGCAUGCUAAAUUUGGAGAAUUAUUCUCUUAUCCCAUUACACUAGAUUACAAUCUUUCUUUACAUACUCAAUUCUAACAUUACUCUUUCUACAUACUAGCUCUCAUUUCUAGUCAGACACAGUCACAGAGAUGCUCACAACUUUCAUGCAAUCACAUAAAUCACAAAACACCGCACUUAUUUCUGUCUUUGCCAACACCAAUCCCUCCUUCCUCAACAUAUUCCACUUUCUUCUGUUUCUCAAUAGAUGCAUCAGGUCCAGUUAUCCCACCAGUGGGAACUGCUAUUUGUCUGAUCAAACAAACUCCCGGCAUCAAAGCUACACCAUUUAACCGGUGGUGAUAUUAUAGAACCGUCUAUGUGUUCUCUUACUUUCAUAAGGUCAGGCUCCUCCGGCCCCAAAUAUAUCAUGUUUCCACUCUUAUCGUCGUCUGAGUAAAGUGCUCCUUGGUUGUCCAUUUCUUCCUGUAAGCUGCUCGAUUUUUCCGUUACUCCUGCAGCAAUUUCCCCGUUUUCUUUGGCCGCCACAUCCUUGCAUCCGUUCUCUUUAUCAUGUGAUUUCUCUACAACACUACGUAGUUCCUGCAACUGUUGAAAAGUUACUGAUAAACUGUUAACUCUGUGUUAUCGAAUGCAGAAAUUAUGAAACCAGAAACAAACAUACCUGUUGUAGCAAGGACUCUCUUUCUUUCUUGAUACCUUCUAGUCUAACUUUAAGAUUAUCAUAGUUGGAUUUGAGUACUCUGUAAUUCUUUUCAAUCUGCUUGGUUUUCCACCUAGCUCGUUUGUUCUGAAACCAUAUAGCUACCUGUCUAGGCUGCAAACCCAACUCCCUAGCCACCUGCACCUUCUUCCUCGGAUCAAGCUUUGUUUCUGAUUCAAAUAUAGUUUCCAAUGACUUAACUUGUUCAUCACUAAACCUCCUCUUGUUGUUUCUGCUCUUCCUCUUCUUCCUCGUCGUGGUUGGUGUGUCUUCUUCUUCUUCUUCGCCGCUCCAUGGCUCAACCUCGAAAUCUGGUUCUGUUGUUGCGUCUAGGGAGGGUUCUUCUCUUCCUUGCAUCAGCAUCUUUCUUUUUUCUUUCUUUUUUUUGGUUUUAAUUAGUGAAAACAACUCCACUCCUUUGAAGUACUUAUGGUCAUGGAAUUGAAUAAUGUUUUUAAAGAGUGUUGCAUAUGAGGACAUGUUUUAGGAUAUAUAGUCAGCCUCAGCCAUGAAAAUAAAAAUAAAAAAAGGUAUUAUUAUGGUCGCUUUCGUGUUAAUAGAGAUUUUUAAUGAUGGCUUAUCUAAAGCCAAUGGGUCCGGUUAUCGUAGGAACCUUUCUCACUCAUGUGUGGAGAGAGCCAGUGUGGAGCACAUCGUAUCAUAUAUAUGUAUACAUCCUUUCUAGGAUCAUUUACAUCACACAGGUAUUUCCAGCCAGAUUUACAGGUCAUAGUCAUUGAAAGUGAGGGAGUACUACAAUGGAAAUCUUCACCUCUAAAGUAAAGAUGGCCGUGGGUUUUGGGCCGAGCCAGCGGGCCGUGGGUUUCGGGCCGAGCCCGCAGACCGUGGGCCUAAAUGGGACGGGCCCAAGCCAGACCAACUCUGCAUCUGAAAAGUUCAAAGCAUGGCCCACGGGUGGUGGGAACGGGUCGGGCCGUUGUGCCUAAAUCUAAUUUUAUUAAAUUUACCGUGUUUUGUCAUGCCAGGUCGAGUCGUGAUGUGUCAUGUCGUGCUUUUUCCCAAAAAAGUGUGGCACACGACCGGCCCACGUCGGGUCGUGCUUUUUUCGUGUCGGGUCCGGCCCACAGACAUCUUUACUUUAAAGAGACCCUUGUGGGGUUUGAUCGGUUCUGAGGUCAAGCCUUUACCACUAGACCAAACCUUUUUUGGUAUGUGUUAUGUACACAUCUUUUUCCUUCUAACUUUUUUAAUCACAGUGGCUGAGUCGCAGUUGUAUUUGCUUUUCAAUAACGUUCAACGGCUGUUGUGGGUGCAGGUAUUUUUUUCGCUUGUUUACUGCAGUCCCACCACACUACAGGAUGGUUAUGGUUAUGGUUAUGGUUAUGGUUUUGUGUUUGUGAGUUUUCUUUUGGAAAAAGACAGGAACAGGAUUUUAGCGUCUUCAUUUGAACCGUGUAAAUAUCUCUGCUCAACGUGCAGCAGUUGGCCUCUAUUUACCUCGUGUACUAAAGCACCCGCAUUUUAAUUUUUAACCACCACUGCAGUCACUUCCGAUUUACUGCAGAAAAAAGACUGUGACUUCAGAUUUUACUGCACUUCACAAACAAGUCCGUGCAAAAGAGGAAAGUAAAUAGGUAACAAGUCAAUUUCACCGUGUUUAACGUUACAUGACUACACGAGUCUGGAUUCUUUCUUUUUGGUACGGUGGUCCUGGACCGGGUUAUUGUGUUCAUUGAAUCAAAAGUUGUCUGCAGAAGAAGCGAAAAGAGAUAGCGAAACUAGCUAUCAGUAUAUAACACUUGCUCAUGUUGCCUGUUUAUGUGGGUCAUUUGUACGAGUAGUUUGGUUGUGAAUGGUUGUGAACAAUUUCUUUUUCUUCCGCACAUUUGUGGAGUGACUAAAUGGGGGUAAAUUCACUACCUAUUUGCAAGUACUGCAACUUGUCACUUCAACUUCAAUUUACUAGUACGAACGACCCUGGCUAAAGCUUGAGUUCGAGCUUGGCUUUGAAAUUUCGAGUUUGAGCUUGAACUUAAUUAUCUAAAUUUUGAGUUUGAGCUUGAACUUAAUUAUCUUAAUUAUCUAAAUUUUAAUUAUCUAAUUUCUUUUACCCUGACUACUUUCAAGCAAACAAAGGGAUGCAGUACAAGAAUCAACAACUAAGUGUAAGAGUUUGAGACCGAGUCUAGGCUCAACUGAAGAUCAAACUUUGGCUUGGUCAAACUAAGCUCUGGCCGGGGUAUGCCUUAUGGGUUGUCAAGGACUCAAGUUGCCUUGACUAGGGGCGGAAUCAUGGAUUAUACACAGAGAAAAAUGUAACGUACAAUUUUUGUAACAAACAAAAUAAAGAAAAAGCAAGUAUGGUAAGGGAGUCAAGAUUCAUACCUUGUACACACAACUCUACCUUUAAAAGUACAAUUGUCAGUUGAGCUAUACUUCAUAUGUUCUUAUUUAUAUGACACAAUUAUAUA